UGGGGAAUAUUGCACAAUGGGGGAAACCCUGAUGCAGCGACGCCGCGUGAGCGAAGAAGGCUUUCGAGUCGUAAAGCUCUGUCCUAUGAGAAGAUAAUGACGGUAUCAUAGGAGGAAGCCCCGGCUAAAUACGUGCCAGCAGCCGCGGUAAUACGUAUGGGGCAAGCGUUACCCGGAUUUACUGGGUGUAAAGGGAGCGUAGGCGGCAGUACAAGUCGGGAGUGAAAACUCGGGGCUCAACCCCGAGACUGCUCUCGAAACUGUACAGCUAGAGUGCAGGAAGGGCAGGCGGAAUUCCUGGUGUAGCGGUGAAAUGCGUAGAUAUCAGGAGGAACACCGGUGGCGAAGGCGGCCUGCUGGACUGUAACUGACGCUGAGGCUCGAAAGCGUGGGGAGCGAACAGG
rnacentral:rRNA from 1 species